UCGAGAAUUUUUCUCAAUGGGGGAAACCCUGAAGGAGCGACGCCGCGUGGAGGAUGAAGGUCUUCGGAUUGUAAACUCCUGUCAUUGGGGAACAAUGCGCAAAUAUUAACUGUAUUUGCGUUGAUAGUACCCGAAGAGGAAGGGACGGCUAACUCUGUGCCAGCAGCCGCGGUAAUACAGAGGUCUCAAGCGUUGUUCGGAUUCAUUGGGCGUAAAGGGUGCGUAGGCGGCGCGGUAAGUCGGGUGUGAAAUCUCGGAGCUUAACUCCGAAACUGCAUUCGAUACUGCCGUGCUUGAGGACUGGAGAGGAGACUGGAAUUUACGGUGUAGCGGUGAAAUGCGUAGAUAUCGUAAGGAAGACCAGUGGCGAAGGCGGGUCUCUGGACAGUUCCUGACGCUGAGGCACGAAGGCCAGGGGAGCAAACG
rnacentral:rRNA from 1 species